rnacentral:rRNA from 1 species
GAUGAACGCUGGCGGCGUGCCUAAUACAUGCAAGUCGAGCGAACGGACGAGAAGCUUGCUUCUCUGAUGUUAGCGGCGGACGGGUGAGUAACACGUGGAUAACCUACCUAUAAGACUGGGAUAACUUCGGGAAACCGGAGCUAAUACCGGAUAAUAUUUUGAACCGCAUGGUUCAAAAGUGAAAGACGGUCUUGCUGUCACUUAUAGAUGGAUCCGCGCUGCAUUAGCUAGUUGGUAAGGUAACGGCUUACCAAGGCAACGAUGCAUAGCCGACCUGAGAGGGUGAUCGGCCACCCUGGAACUGGGCCACGGACCAGGCUCCUACGGGAGGCAGCAGUAGGGAAUCUUCCGCAAUGGGCGAAAGCCUGACGGAGCAACGCCGCGUGAGUGAUGAAGGUCUUCGGAUCGUAAAACUCUGUUAUUAGGGAAGAACAUAUGUGUAAGUAACUGUGCACAUCUUGACGGUACCUAAUCAGAAAGCCACGGCUAACUACGUG